UUGUAUGAAAACCUUGUAAAAUUAUUGGAUUAUGGUGCUACAUUUAAACAUCUAUGGAGGAAGGCAGAGCGCUAGCCUAUGCAGUCAAACCUGGAAUGGCUGACACAUGUUAAGGGUAUUCACCACAGGUAUUGAAACCUAAAAUGCCCUGAACUCUUUUCAUUUAGAUUAACAAAAUAUGGUUUUAGUCUUCCUCCUCUAUAUUCUGGCAUAGACAGAAUUAUCAUGCCACUUUUUUACAUUUGAUUUUAGGUUUUGAAACAGCUCAUCCUCAACUUAAUGUCUCUGAGGACAGAAAUACUGUGUGAUAUGGAAAAACAAAACAAAACAUUUAUUAUAACCUAAGUAGUCUUCCCUUCUGCCCUGCUGUCCUGGACUUUCAGAAGUGUAGUUCUGGCAGACAUUACUGAAAGGUUGAUGUGGGAAACAAGCUUAAAUGAAAAUGGGUUGUGUGUGAAGACUGUCUUUUUAGGAACUGGCAGGAUUAGCCUUCAGUUCUGGGUAGAUUUUGGGCAAUCAGAUGAUAUAUAAAGAGUGGUUAUGUUGUAUCAGGUCAUAAGAAACGCUGGAUUCUGCCAGUAGUAAACCUCUGUAAGAGUGGUAUUUUUUGGACUAUGAAUUGGGUAAAUUUUUAAAUAUAAUUGAUAGGUUUGUUCUGUAUAUUUUCAAUAAUUCUUUCACAAGAGCUGUUUGCUUUAUUUCUAUACUGAUGCAGAUUCUGAGCAUCUUUAAUUCUGUUCAUUAUCAGAUACUGAAAGAUAA
rnacentral:lncRNA from 1 species